UACGAAGGGGGCUAGCGUUGCUCGGAAUCACUGGGCGUAAAGCGCACGUAGGCGGAUUGUUAAGUCAGGGGUGGAAUCCUGGAGCUCAACUCCAGAACUGCCUUUGAUACUGGCGAUCUCGAGUCCGGGAGAGGUGAGUGGAACUGCGAGUGUAGAGGUGAAAUUCGUAGAUAUUCGCAAGAACACCAGUGGCGAAGGCGGCUCACUGGCCCGGCACUGACGCUGAGGUGCGAAAGCGUGGGGAGCAAACAGG
rnacentral:rRNA from 1 species